AGUUUGAUUAUGGCUCGACGAACGCUGGCGGGAUGCUUAUUACGCAAGUCGAAAUGGGCAGCACGGACUUGGUCUGGUGGCGAGUGGCGAACGGGUGAGCAAUGUAUCGGAACGUGCCUAGUAGUUGUGGGGAUAACUACGCGAAAGCGUAACCAAUAAUGGGCACGCCCUUCGGGGAAAGCGGGGGACCUUUCGGGCUCGCACUAUUAGAGUGUGCUGAUAUCGGAUUAGCUAGUUGGUGGGGCAACGUCCACUAAGGCGACGAUCCGUAGCUGGUUUGAGACGACCAGCCACACUGGGACUGGAGAUGACGGGCCCAGACUCCUACGGAGGCAGCAGUGGGGAAUUCUUGACAAUGAAACUCCUGAUCCAGCUCAUCCCGCGCGAUGAAGGCCUCGGGUUGUAAAGCACUUUUUGGCAGGAAAAGAAAACGGCACGGGAUAUCACCCUCAACUGACGGUACCUGGGUAAGAAUAAGCACCGGCUAACUACGUGCCAGCAGCCGCGUAAUACGUAGGGUGCAAGCGUUAAUCGGAAUUAUUGGGCGUAAAGCGCAGGGAGGGCGUUCGGGAAAGGAAAGAUGUGAAAUCCCAGAGCUUAACUUUUGAACUGCAUUUUUAACUACUGAGCUAGAGUGUCAGAGGGAGCGUGGGAUUCCGGCGUGCAGCAGUGAAAUGCGUAGAUAUGCGAUAACACCGAUACGGCCAGCCUCCUGGGAUAACACUGACGCUCAUGCACGAAAGCCGUGGGAAGGGGGAAACAGGAUUAGAUACCCAGGUAGUCCACGCCCCAAACGAUGUCAACUAGCUGUUGUGGGCCUUUCGGCCUUGGUAGCAGCUAACGCGUGAAGCUUAAUCGCCCGGGGAGUACGGUCGCAAGAUUAAAAACUCAAAGGAAUUGAUUAAUCGCACAAGCGGUGGAUGAUGUGGAUUAAUUCGAUGCCCGCGAAAAACCUACCUACCCUUGGACAUGUCUGGAAUCCCGAAGAGAUUUGGGAGUUUCGCAGAGAACCGGAACACAGGUGUCGUAUGGCUGUCGUCAGCUCGUACCAGAUGUUGUUAAGUCCUAAACGAGCGCAACCCCUUGUCAUUAGUUGUUGGCUGAAAGGGACACUUAAUGAGACUGCCGGCAGCAAACCGGAUAGCCGUGAUGACGUCAAGUCCUCAUGGCCCUUAUGGGUAGGGCUUCACACGUCAUACAAUGGUCGGGACAGAGGGUCGCCAACCCGCGAGGGGGAGCCAUCCUAGAACCCGAUCGUAGUCCGAUCGCAGUCUGCAACUCGACUGUGUGAAGUCGGAAUCGCGUAGUAAUCGCGGAUCAGCAUGUCGCGGUGAAUACGUUCCCGUGGGUCUUGUACACACCCGCCCGUCACACCAUGGGAGUGGGUUUUACCAGAAGUAGUUAGCCUAACCGUAAGGAGGGCGAUUACCACGGUAGGAUUCACAUCAGUGAAGUCGCAACAAGGUA
rnacentral:rRNA from 1 species